UGGAUUUAUGUGGGCGUUGUUUAAGGUUUGUGGAAGCCAUAAGUUAUCAAAUCGAGAAAUAUCACAGAAAGGUUUCACCCUCCAAAGAAUAGUCCAAGAGUUUAAGCACUUGAAGAUUUGGCAAUGAACCAAUGAUAGACAUAUCUUUUCCUCCACCAAGCAACUUGAGACUCCAUACAAGAUUCUUGAUGAGGCAGAAUGCAUGUAUCAUACACUAUGAUGAGCUGCAUCCUCCAAAUUUCCAAUGGCAAAUGAGAAGGACCUGCAUAUAUAUGUAUAUUUCCUACUCCGAGG